rnacentral:antisense_RNA from 1 species
CUUCACCGAGCCCAGCCACAGGGGCUGUUCGGCCGGACGCCCGCGCCCGUAGGCGGCGAGGACCGCCUGGCCCUC